AGUGGACGCUGGCGGUAGGCCUAACACAUGCAAGUCGAACGGCAGCACAGUAAGAGCUUGCUCUUACGGGUGGCGAGUGGCGGACGGGUGAGGAAUACAUCGUAAUCUACUUUUUCGUGGGGGAUAACGUAGGGAAACUUACGCUCAUACCGCAUACGACCUACGGGUGAAAGCAGGGGAUCUUCGCACCUUGCGCGAUUGAAUGAGCCGAUGUCGGAUUAGCUAGUUGGCGGGGUAAAGGCCCACCAAGGCGACGAUCCGUAGCUGGUCUGAGAGGAUGAUCAGCCACACUGGAACUGAGACACGGUCCAGACUCCUACGGGAGGCAGCAGUGGGGAAUAUUGGACAAUGGGCGCAAGCCUGAUCCAGCCAUACCGCGUGGGUGAAGAAGGCCUUCGGGUUGUAAAGCCCUUUUGUUGGGAAAGAAAAGCAGCAGGUUAAUACCCCGCUGUUCUGACGGUACCCAAAGAAUAAGCACCGGCUAACUUCGUG
rnacentral:rRNA from 1 species